UCUCCGUAGGUGAACCUGCGGAGGGAUCGUUACUGAGUGAGGGCCUCCGGUCCGACCUCCAACCCUUUGUGAACCAACACUGUUGCUUCGGGGGCGACCCUGCCGUCCGCGGCUGAGCGCCCCCGGGGUCAAUCAAACACUGCAUUCUCUGCGUCGGAGUAUUAGUAAAUCUAAUCAAAACUUUCAACAACGGAUCUCUUGGUUCCAGCAUCGAUGAAGAACGCAGC
rnacentral:misc_RNA from 1 species